GACGAACCGAGCGAACGUUAUUCGGAAUCACUGGGCUUAAAGGGCGCGUAGGCGGGCCGUCAAGUCAGGGGUGAAAGCCCCCAGCUCAACUGGGGAAGUGCCUCUGAUACUGACGGUCUCGAGGGAGAUAGGGGCGUGCGGAACUUCCGGUGGAGCGGUGAAAUGCGUAGAUAUCGGAAGGAACACCGGUGGCGAAAGCGGCGCGCUGGAUCUCUUCUGACGCUGAGGCGCGAAAGCCAGGGGAGCGAACGGG
rnacentral:rRNA from 1 species